rfam:Schistosoma haematobium scaffold912_10, whole genome shotgun sequence.
GGCUUUUCGAAUCCGUGCUGAGAUUUCGUAAGACACCAACUCAUUAGGGCUGAUCAUAAUUCCAAGAUAAGUGAAGUU